rnacentral:rRNA from 1 species
UAAUACGGAGGGUGCAAGCAUUAAUCGGAUUUAUUGGGCGUAAAGGGCGCGUAGGCGGAAUGAAAAGUCAGAUGUGAAAUCCCGGGGCUCAACCUCGGAACAGCAUUUGAAACUCUCAUUCUAGAGGGUAGGCGGAGAAAACGGAAUUCCACAAGUAGCGGUGAAAUGCGUAGAUAUGUGGAAGAACACCGGUGGCGAAGGCGGUUUUCUAGCUUAUUCCUGACGCUGAGGCGCGAAAGCAAGGGGAUCAAACAGG